rnacentral:misc_RNA from 1 species
GAUGAAGAACGUAGCGAAAUGCGAUACGUAAUGUGAAUUGCAAAUUCAGUGAAUCAUCGAGUCUUUGAACGCACAUUCGCCCCCUGGUAUUCCGGGGGGCAUGCCUGUCCGAGCGUCAUUGCUGCCCUCAAGCACGGCUUGUGUGUUGGGCCCCGUCCUCCGAUCCCGGGGGACGGGCCCGAAAGGCAGCGGCGGCACCGCGUCCGGUCCUCGAGCGUAUGGGGCUUUGUCACCCGCUCUGUAGGCCCGGCCGGCGCUUGCCGAUCAACCCAAAUUUUUUAUCCAGGUUGACCUCGUAUCAGGUAGGGAUACCCGCUGAACUUAAGCAUAUCAAUAAGCGGAGGA